rnacentral:rRNA from 1 species
CCUACGGGAGGCUGCAGUGGGGAAUAUUGCACAAUGGGGGAAACCCUGAUGCAGCGACGCCGCGUGAGUGAAGAAGGAUUUCGGUAUGUAAAGCUCUAUCAGCAGGGAAGCAAAUGACGGUACCUGAUUCAGAAGCCCCGGCUAACUACGUGCCAGCAGCCCGGGUAAUACGGAGGGGGCAAGCGUUAUCCGGAUUUACUGGGGGUAAAGGGGGCGUAGACGGCAGCACAAGUCUGGAGUGAAAUGCCGGGGCUUAACCCCGGAACGGCGUUGGAAACUGUGCAGCGAGAGUGGAGGAGAGGUAAGUGGAAUGCGUAGUGUAGCGGUGAAAUGCGUAGAUAUUAGGAGGAACACCGGUGGCGAAGGCAGCUUACUGGACUGUAACUGACGUUGAGGCUCGAAAGCGUGGGGAGCAAACAGGAUUAGAUACCCUUGUAGUC